rnacentral:misc_RNA from 1 species
GAAAUGCGAUAAGUAAUGUGAAUUGCAGAAUUCAGUGAAUCAUCGAAUCUUUGAACGCACAUUGCGCCCACCAGCACUCUGGCGGGCAUGCCUGUUCGAGCGUCAUUUCAACCCUCAGAACCCCUUGCGGGAUCUGGCGUUGGGGAUUGGCAUCCAGCCAGCCCCGAAAUCUAGUGGCGGUCCCUCCGCGACCUCCCCUGUGCAGUAGCGAUACCUCGCAGCGGGACAGCGGUCUGACCACGCCGUAAAACCCCCAACUUCCCAAGGUUGACCUCGAAUCAGGUAGGAAUACCCGCUGAACUUAAGC